rnacentral:tRNA from 1 species
GGGGGUGGAGCUCAAUGGUGCAGUGUUUGCCUAGAGCGCAUUAGGCCCUGGGUUCAAACCCUAGCACCGACA